rnacentral:sRNA from 1 species
AUCACAUGAUCCAAAGAGUUGUGUUUCUUUAUUUUAUU